rnacentral:rRNA from 1 species
UACGUAUGUCACGAGCGUUAUCCGGAUUUAUUGGGCGUAAAGCGCGUCUAGGUGGUUAUGUAAGUCUGAUGUGAAAAUGCAGGGCUCAACUCUGUAUUGCGUUGGAAACUGUAUAACUAGAGUACUGGAGAGGUAAGCGGAACUACAAGUGUAGAGGUGAAAUUCGUAGAUAUUUGUAGGAAUGCCGAUGGGGAAGCCAGCUUACUGGACAGAUACUGUCGCUGACGCGCAGGAAAGCGGUUGGGUAGCAAAACAGGGAUUUAGAUACCCCCCCCGUAGUCC